rnacentral:rRNA from 1 species
AAAUGAAUAGACGGGGGCCCGCACAAGCGGUGGAGCAUGUGGCUUAAUUCGAUGCAACGCGAAGAACCUUACCUGGGUUUGACAUGCAGUGGACAGCCUCUGAAAGGGGGCCUUCCUUCGGGACCGCUGCACAGGUGCUGCAUGGCUGUCGUCAGCUCGUGUCGUGAGAUGUUCGGUUAAGUCCGGCAACGAGCGCAACCCCUGUCCUUAGUUGCCAGCGAGUAAUGUCGGGGACUCUAAGGAGACAAGCUUCUUGUAGAAGCGGGAAGGUGGGGAUGACGUCAAGUCCGUAUGGCCCUUACAUCCAGGGCUGCACACGUGCUACAAUGCCCAGUACAGUGAGAUGCAAUACCGUGAGGUGGAGCAAACCUCUAAAGCUGGGCCCAGUUCGGAUUGGAGUCUGCAACUCGACUCCAUGAAGUCGGAAUCGCUAGUAACGGCGUAUCAGCAACGACGCCGUGAAUACGUUCCCGGGCCUUGUACACACCGCCCGU